GAUGAACGCUGGCGGCGUGCCUAAUACAUGCAAGUCGAGCGAACAGACGAGGAGCUUGCUCCUCUGACGUUAGCGGCGGACGGGUGAGUAACACGUGGAUAACCUACCUAUAAGACUGGGAUAACUUCGGGAAACCGGAGCUAAUACCGGAUAAUAUAUUGAACCGCAUGGUUCAAUAGUGAAAGACGGUUUUGCUGUCACUUAUAGAUGGGUCCGCGCCGCAUUAGCUAGUUGGUAAGGUAACGGCUUACCAAGGCAACGAUGCGUAGCCGACCUGAGAGGGUGAUCGGCCACACUGGAACUGAGACACGGUCCAGACUCCUACGGGAGGCAGCAGUAGGGAAUCGUCCGCAAUGGGCGAAAGCUUGACGGAGCAACGCCGCGUGAGUGAUGAAGGUCUUCGGAUCGUAAAACUCUGUUAUUAGGGAAGAACAAAUGUGUAAGUAACUAUGCACGUCUUGACGGUACCUAAUGAGAAAGCCACGGCUAACUACGUG
rnacentral:rRNA from 1 species